GUAUCCCAAAGUCACAAUUGUGAUUUGUCACCUUCACUGCCAGCUUGUGGCAAACAAAGUUAAUGAGGAAGUUGGCAGGAGGUUGCAAACAGCAAUCUCAUGGACAUGGGAUACUACCACUGUGUGGGAUUCACCUAACGAUGCCAAUAGGGACUGUCAGAACUGGCAUCAUAACUGCAGUGGUCACAUGACUGUGUCUUAGGAUCAUGUUCCUUAGCCAUGGAGUUCAUGUCCCAAUUACGUUUGUCCUCAGGUACUUAUCCAGUGAUCCAUUAACUUUGAAAGAUAUGUUUCAAUGGUUCUGAAAUCAUGCUGUCAAUUUCUUCAGAACUCUGGGAUGUAGUUCAUCAGAAUCUGGUGAUUUGAAUCUGUCUAGAGCUGACAGAUAAAUACACAAAGAUCGAAACACCCAGGAUUAUGGAUCUCAUAAACCUCUGCUUAAUUACAUACUUCCAAUUUGAUGGCCAGCUUUACCAACAAAUUAAAGGGACACCUAUGGGAUCACCACUUUCAGGACUGUAUGGAUCAGAUAUGUAGAUAACACCUUCACCAUAAUAAAAAAUGACUAAUUAAAGAAUAACCACAGAACCAUCAAUAACAUUUUUAAAGGAAUCCAGUUUAUUAGAGAAGAAGAAAACAACUUUCCUUUUCUGGACAUCCUGAUCAGCAGAGAUCACAAUGGCAAACUAGAAAUGCAAGUGUGCAGAAAAACUACCCAUACUAACCUGAUACUCCACUGCCAAAGCAAUAAUCCAACCUCCCACAAGAGAAGAUGUGUAAGGACUUUAUUUAGAUGAGCCCAACAUACUGCAGCAACCCAGAAGAGCAGAAAAAGGAAAUAAAGCAUCUCUACAACACAUUCCAACAAAAUGGAUAUCCAUGCAACUUUAUUAAAAAGUUCCUGACUACUCGACCCAAUACAGCACAACCAACACAAACCCUGCAAAGAAUUAUAUUGCCAUACAUCAAGAAUAUCUUAGAAACCACCAACAGACUACUAUAACCACAUGGAAUCAGCAUAGCACAUAAGCCAAAUAAAGCCCUUCAAAACAUUGUAAGCAGACCAAAAGACCCAACAAUCCCAGAAGAAAAAAAAACCAGGAGUCAUCUAUAACAGGGGUCACCAAUAUUUCGGACCUCAGGGACCACUAAAUUCAUAAUUUUAAAUCCCACAGACCACUAAUAUGAUCUGCCUAAUGACCAGUUGGGUGGGCGUGACUAGGUGGUCAUCUGAUUGGGUGGGCAUGGCCACCUCAAUGUCACGUCUAGAGGCACCUCGCUAGCCUCUACUCACCCCUUCCCUCCCAGCCACUCCUCGUCUCCCUGCCCAGGCUGCUUAGAGCCCCAACAGGAAGCAGUUGUUGGAGCUAAGCAGCCACCAUGAGAAAGAGUUGGCAAACAGCUCAGUUCAGAUUGGAUCUGACCGAGAAGGAGGCUCAGUAGAAACACCUCACUGAGGACUAUGAGCAUAGGCUUUCUAAGCAGAGGGAAGACCUGUAGGAAUGAAAGGCCAUGUACAGGCACCUGGAGGCUCAGCGGGCUGAGAUGGUCAGCCAGUUCCAGGCCAUGAUGCAGUCCCAUUGAAACAAGGCCCUCCGGUUCUUUGCCACCAGUGGCACUUCCCUCCAGCCUUUGGCCAAAGCCUUGCACCAGGAGGCUGAAGCAGACUCCAAGUUGGAAUUUCUGUCCCCCUCUGACCCGCACAAAAAGACCCCAAAGGGGGAGACUCUUUGCAGCAACACAAACAUUCAUUGCACAUAUCUGUCCCAGGGUCUGUAGUUUGAGGACCCCUGAUUUAGUGCAGUAUAAAAAAUGCAAAUAAUUUUUCUGCAGACCACCAACAUUUUCUCAUGGACCACCAGUGGUCCACGGACCACCAGUUGGUGACCGCUGAUCUAUAACAUACAAUGUAAGUACUGCAACAAUUAUAUAGGACAAUUAUAUAGGACAAACAGGCAGAAGACUGCCAGAACGCAUCUACGAACACCAGCUAGCAAUCAGAAGAUAUAAUGAAAAUUCUUUAAUUUCACAACAGACAGAUUUAACCAUAGUUUCAAUUGGGAAAAUGUGACCAUCCUGGAACAAGUCCAAAAAUGUCAGGGAAUUUCUAGAAGCCUGGCACUUUGACAAAUCAGUCAUCAAUAGACACAUAUACAUUAACAACAUCUAUAGACUAUGCAAAAGAGACUAUCAUCCAGUCCAAAAAGGAACAAAAAGACACAAGCACUUCUCCACUAGCAAUUAGCACCCAGAUCAGUAUAUAUUAACUCCAAGGUGCCAACAGUUAACAUCAGACCAACUGAUGUUCAAGUAAGCAUCAAGUAAGCAAUACCCCAAUCAAGAAACUGCCAAAGAAGCCAAUAGCAAACAGCACAAUCAAAUAAUCUCUAAGACCACCCCCACAAACACUGACAGGCAAGUUACUAGAAUAUAAACGGACAGCAAACAACGCUCCCUUUUGGUACUGAAGAUAUUACCUAGUUUGGGUAAUGAAACAUCUGUAAGAAAACAAGCAGGUUCAGAGCGCAUCAAGGACCUCUAAUUUAUGGUUCUGUUUUUGGUAAAUUCAGCAGUGGUUUCUUUUGUGUGAAGACAGAUGCAAAUAUGAAUUAAGCAGUUCUGCAUUCUCUCUAUUGUCCAUUACUUCUUUAUCAUUUUCUCCCAUUAGUAGACAGAUUGUUUCUUUGACUUUUUUGUUUUUUAUAUUUUUAAAGAAACUUUUUAAAAUUGUUUUUGACAUUUGUUGAAAGUCUUACUAUGUUCAAAGCCUAGGUUUCCUAACUUUAUCUUUACAGGUUCGGGCUCUUUGUUGAUAUUCUGCCUUCGUUAUGUUUCCCUCUUUCCAUUUUUUUCUACUUCUCCUUUUUUUCUCUCUGUUGAUCUGAGAGUUCUUUGUGAAAUCAUACUGUUUUCUUCUUAUCUUUUUUUGUGGUACUGAACUGGAUUGGCCUCUUAUAAUUAUAUUUUUCGGGGAUUCCCAAGCUUCUUGAGUUGAUUUGCCCUUUAAGAUUUUCAUCCAUAGGAUCCUUCCUAAAAGCUCUUAAGUUUGUUAAAAUCAGUUCUUUUAAAGCCUAAAACAUUGGUUUAUGUUGUUGCUUGUGUCUGUUUUAUAUUGAAUUCUAACAUUACAUGGUCACUCUCCCCUAGAGUUCCUACAAUUUCAAUCCCCUUUAUCACAUCUUCUCUAUUGGUAAGAAUAAGGUCCACUAUAGCUGUCCCUCUACUUGCCACCUCUACUUUUGGGGCGAUGAAGUUGUCAACUAGGUGUUCAGAAAUCUGUUUGAUCUCCCAUUUGUUGCAGAGUUUGUUCCCAGUUGAUGUCAGGUAGUUUAAAGUCCCUGAUUACUAUUGUGGUGGGUUUCCUAUAUACGUUGGUUAACUGAUUAGCAAAAAAUUCAUCAAUUUUUUCUGUUUGGUUGAGUGGCUUGUAGUAUGCACCUAUGGCAAUGUCAUUCUUUUUUCCUUAUAUGUUGAUCCAUAUGCAUUCUAGAAGGCUUUCAUGCUUUGUUGUGUGGAUCAUUAUAGUUUCUGUAAUGGCAGUUAUAUCAUAAUUGCCCUUAUGUACUAGUAUUUCAAGUUCACCUUGUUUGUUCCUACAUUUUGAAUGUUAGUGUAUAGACCUGCCAUGUCCCUUACCUUGUUGUGUCACUGCCGAAUCACCAGCAAUCCCAUUAAAUUGAAUAGGACUGUCGGUGAAUCAACAGCGGGUCAGAGGAGCAGCAGCUGCGGGACAGAGAUGACAGUUGCUGUUUAAAAAUUAGGAUUUAAAUCGAGUUGAUUUAAAUCAAACCUUUUUACUAGUGAUUUUAAAUCAUAAUUUAAAUUGACUUGAUUUAAAUCAAAUCCACCCUGGUUUAAAGCCCUUCUGAUAAGAUGAGCCAGUCAUUUUCUGAAUAUAUUCUUUCCAGUUCUUGUGAGAUGCUGUCCAUCCCUUCCCAAGAACCCUUCAUGUUGGUAAUUAAGACCCUGGUCUAGGAAACUAAAGUUCUCUUGACAAUACCAGUUUUUAAGCCAGUGGUUCAUUCUAAAAUCCAUUGCUCCCUCAUUGAAUGUUGGCCUCUUUUUUUUGGAAGUAUAGAUGAAAACAUUAUUUGUGCUCUUAAUUCUUCAGCUUUCUUCUCUAACUGUUCAAAAUCUUGUUACUGUUUUCAGAUUCAUUGUUGUACCAUUCAUCCCCAUGUGUAGAAGAAAGGGGUAGUAAUCUGUGCGGUUGAUUAUUUUAGUAAGGUUCUCAGUUACAUCUUUUGAUUUUUGCUCCAAGGAGAUAGCAUACCUCCCUAGAUUGAUUGCCUGGUCUGCAGGCUAUGUUUCUUUUCCCUUUAGAAUUGAAUCUCUUGUCACUAAUACUUGCCUUUUUUUCCUAGGAAAGUCUGGGAUACUUUUUCGUUUUUGUUGAAAUAUCGUCAUUUCUGAAGCUUCAUGACUUUAAGAUGGCGAGGAGGGGAGGAAUUGGUGUAUCCAAACCAAAAUAAAAAAGCUGGAAAUUACUGUGGAAGGGAUUUUAUUAACUUUAAUUGACUCUCCUGAACUUCUUUGCUUUUAAAACAAAGACUGCCUAAAUGGGGUUUUGAUUCUGUUGUGAGGAGGGGGAGAAAUAAUUCUGAUUUUACUUGCCUGUUUGGAUCAGCUGUGAGGGCUGUUAAACAAAGAAGCACAUAUUUCAGGUUUCUUUUGUAGCUUACAUUGCAGUGACGCUGUUUGACCACACAAGGGAGCCAAAAGAUUGCCAAAAGAUUGUAAUAUUAUCAAUUCUUACUAACUCUCCAGUUACAUUAUUUUAUAUACUAAGCCCAUUUGAUUUAAUGUUAAAAAUUUAUAACUUCAAAGUUUAAAAUUUUAAACUUUGGUUAUGUUUUAGAGAAAUAACUAGUCGUAAGAAAACUGAAAGAAGAACAUCAGGAGAUGCAGAAUCUCUAAAAUCUUUUUUGGAUGUAUAUACAGCUAAACACAUGAACUCAUUCAAGGAAUUGAAUCAAAACUUGAUGUACUUUCAAAGAAACUUCACAAGGAAAUAUAACAUUUGACUAGAGAUAUUAAACAGGUGAAGAAUAAAGUAGAUCUGAUGGAGCAUAAAUUGGAGAAGAAAGAUCUUCAGCAUGAAGCUGGUUUGGAUGAAAGAUCUCUUUUGGAAUUAUAAUUUAAGCAACUCCAAUUAAGAUUUUGAGUAGUUCCUGAAUUGUCUGGAGAGGAUAUUAGACCAAGGAUGAUUAAAGGCUUGGCCAGGUUAAUUGAGAAGAAAAGACCAUCGACCUUGAAACAGACAAAAUUUAUAGAGUAAAUUCCAGAUUUGCAACUAUGAGAAAACUACCAAGGUAUGUUUUAAUCCAUUUUGUAAGAAGAACGAGAGAUGUUUUGGACUGCCACUUUAAAUCUAAAGUAAAAAUGAAAAACAUGGAUAUAAUCAUUUUGAAGGAAAUCCCUAUCAGAAUUUUGAGAAAAAGGAAAGCUUAUUCCUUUCUGAUAUCCUGAAGAAGAGAAAAAUUCCCUUCCAUUGGAACAUACUUGAAGGAGUGAUAUCCACUUAUCAAAGAGCAAAGAUUUAGACUGAAUUCUAUAGAAAAAGCCAAAGACUUCUUGAUUAAAUAAACUAAUUUUGGAUCCA